rnacentral:rRNA from 1 species
GACGUAGGGGGCCAGCGUUGUUCGGAAUUACUGGGUGUAAAGGGUUCGUAGGCGGUGCGGCAAGUUGGGAGUGAAAUCUCUGGGCUUAACCCAGAGGCUGCUUCCAAAACUGCUGUGCUUGAGUGUGGGAGAGGCGCGUGGAAUUGCAGGUGUAGCGGUGAAAUGCGUAGAUAUCUGCAGGAACACCCGUGGCGAAAGCGGCGCGCUGGACCACUACUGACGCUGAGGAACAGAAAGCGUAGGGGAGCAAACAGG